AUCACCGCGCCGCCGUUUUGUCCGUCGUCAUCGUCGGCGACCGUUUCUACGUCGUUUAUUUCUCAUUAUUUCGUUAUUAUUAUUAUCAUUAGUAGUACUGACUACUAAUUAUAUGUAUUCUUUAAUUAAUGUGAUUUCGUAAAUUUUCUACUACUACGGCGAUUAUAUUAUUAAUUGUCGAUAUUGUGACGGUCUUAUUUGAUUUGAUUUUGUAAUUUUUAGAUGGCGUUUGUCGUGUGCCCGGAAGACUGCUUCGAUAAUGGUUCGACCCGUUGGCCGAGAGUGCUGGCUUAAUCAAUAGUGCUGUUAACAAUCUACAACGGAUUUAUUAAACGGACGGCGUUUGUUGCGUCCUGACGUGGUAUGCUUCGAUAACGGCUCGGCCUGUUGGACCUGAAGUGCCGGGGCUCUGAUCGACAACGGAUUUAUUACACGGACUGCUACACUGCUGUGCCAGGAUAACUGAGCUGUAGAUUGUUGGCUGUCAUCACUAUUGGAUUUAUUGCACGGGUAAUUUAUUUUCAUUUGUUAAAAGAAAUACUGUGUCUGGAUGAAUGCUUUUGAAUAAUGGUCAAGAGUACAUGUUUAUUUACAUUCUUGAACAUGAUGGACAAUUGAUUUAUAGCAAAUAGCCUGGAAGACUGCGUUUGAAUAACAGUUCAGACCAUUGGCCAAGUGUGCCAGUUCUAAUGAAUUUAUAACGCAAACUGUGCUCGACUUGGAACGCAAAACAUUUUUGCUACUGUUGUACCUUUGGCGUGUUGAACGGCCAUGCUGUGCUUAAUUUUUGUUUAAGCGGUGUCUUCUCUUCACCAAAAAAGAUUGCAUUUUAUAUUGACGGCCAUUGUCUUUGUUCUAUUCUUGGUGACGUUUUGCUGCCGGACACAAAGUGAAGAACAGUGUUGUUUGCUCUCCGGGUUCAUUCAAAACGACUGCAGAAUUUUCCAUAAAUCGUACUUUAACAUUAGUUUCGAAUAAUAUUUUGUUUUUUGUUAUUCCCCACGUGGAAAGUUAUAUAGAAUUUUUGUAAUAUACUCAUUGUUCUUAUGUGGAAACCUUCAAGUUUAUAAUUUAAAAUACUAUUCAGUUUACACAAUAAACUGAACAACACAUAAUAAA